UCUUCAUUCUUCAUGCUCUCUCACCGGUCAGAUUGACGAGAGAGCACGCGCAAUGAAGAGA
rfam:Pristionchus pacificus strain PS312 contig12673, whole genome shotgun sequence.